UGGUAAACCAGGGCUAUCCUUCAUCCUAGGUACCAAAGACUUUAAAUGCAUGCUUAUUUUUUUAAAAAAGCCGUCGGCGCUUUGAUUUGUUUGAAUUGGGGGUGUGGUGGGGAGAGGCGACGAGCUACCGACAGCUGAGCCCCCUUGAAACAUAGGAGGGCAUCCAAAGCGCGUGUACAGGGAGGAGGGCAGACCGUGUGCUGACUUAAGCGAGGCCAAGGCGGCGGUGGGUCAUGCGGCUCAACCGGGGCGGGGCACUGGGAAAAGUGGUGCAUUUCGAAGGUUCCAUGGCGUUGUUGCGGCGUUCUAGGCCCCAGCGCAAACGUGCCUCUGGCGACGGUUUGAGCGUUCCGUCGCCCAACGCCUCGCCGCCCAAUGGCUGGGCGUGUGUGUGUGUCGCCCAUUCGGAGCUUCCUCCCUUUCCCAGCAUUCCACUGCAGUAAAGGCAACGUGGUUUUCUUUGGGUGCGAGCAUGUGAUUUUCCUGAACUAGCUACGGAGCCUUGCUUUUCGACUCUUUCCGGCUGUGUGCGUAGCCGGUCUGCUUUUCGCUUGGGCUCCGGAGAACGCUUCUAACAUUCAACUCCAGCUAAAGUGGUAAAAGCAGCAAACCUACGGCAGCGGAAAGGAAGCAAGGUUGGUGACUU